CGCGUAGGCGGCUUUGUUAGUCAGGCGUGAAAUUCCUGGGCUUAACCUGGGGGCUGCGCUUGAUACAGCAGGGCUAGAGGGUGGAAGAGGGUCGUGGAAUUCCCAGUGUAGAGGUGAAAUUCGUAGAUAUUGGGAAGAACACCGGUGGCGAAGGCGGCGACCUGGUCCAUUACUGACGCUGAGGCGCGACAGCGUGGGGAGCAAACAGGAUUAGAUACCCCAGUA
rnacentral:rRNA from 1 species